UACGGGGGGAGCAAGCGUUGUUCGGAUUUACUGGGCGUAAAGGGCGCGUAGGCGGCCACUGCAAGUCAGUUGUGAAAUCUCCGGGCUUAACCCGGAAAGGUCACCUGAUACUGCAGGGCUAGAGUGCAGAAGGGGCAACUGGAAUUCUCGGUGUAGCGGUGAAAUGCGUAGAUAUCGAGAGGAACACCUGCGGCGAAGGCGGGUUGCUGGGCUGAAGCUGACGCUGAGGCGCGAAAGCCAGGGGAGCGAACGGG
rnacentral:rRNA from 1 species